AUUGAACGCUGGCGGCGUGCUUUACACAUGCAAGUCGAACGGCAGCAUUGUCUUCGGACAGAUGGCGAGUGGCGGACGGGUGAGUAAUACAUCGGAACAUGCCAUGUAGAAUGGGAUAACUCAUCGAAAGAUGAGCUAAUACCGUAUAAUCUCUGAGGAGGAAAGCUGGGGACCAGUGAUGGCCUGGCGCUAUAUGAGUG
rnacentral:rRNA from 1 species